rnacentral:rRNA from 1 species
GGAGAAAGCAGGGGAUCUUCGGACCUUGCGCUAUCGGAUGAGCCCAUGUCGGAUUAGCUUGUUGGUGAGGUAAUGGCUCACCAAGGCCGCGAUCCGUAGCUGGUCUGAGAGGAUGAUCAGCCACACCGGGACUGAGACACGGCCCGGACUCCUACGGGAGGCAGCAGUGGGGAAUAUUGGACAAUGGGGGAAACCCUGAUCCAGCCAUGCCGCGUGUGUGAAGAAGGCCUUCGGGUUGUAAAGCACUUUCAGUGGGGAAGAAGGCAUGCCGAUUAAUACCCGGCAUGAAGGACAUCACCCACAGAAGAAGCACCGGCUAACUCCGUGCCAGCAGCCGCGGUAAUACGGAGGGUGCAAGCGUUAAUCGGAAUUACUGGGCGUAAAGGGCGCGUAGGCGGCUUGCCAAGCCGGAUGUGAAAGCCCCGGGCUCAACCCGGGAACGGCAUUCGGAACUGGCAGGCUAGAGUGCAGGAGAGGAAGGUGGAAUUCCCGGUGUAGCG